rnacentral:rRNA from 1 species
GAUGAACGCUGGCGGCGUGCUUAACACAUGCAAGUCGAACGAUUAACCCACCUUCGGGUGGUCAUAGAGUGGCGAACGGGUGAGUAACACGUGACCAACCUGCCUCAUGCAUCGGGAUAACUGCUGGAAACGGCAGCUAAUACCGGAUACUCUUGCAACUUCGCAUGGAGAUGCAAGGAAAGCUUUCGCGGCAUGAGAUGGGGUCGCGGCCCAUUAGGUAGACGGUGAGGUAGUGGCUCACCGUGCCUGCGAUGGGUAGCCGGACUGAGAGGUCGAUCGGCCACAUUGGGACUGAGAUACGGCCCAG